UCGUAGACAUGGAAGGGGUAAUUGGGAUGAGAUGCUUAGAGACCCCAGGUUAAAAUUUUCGAAGUAUAAAACUAGACAAGAUUUGGCAGCUAGGUGGGAAGAGGAGCAACUGAAGAUCUUGGAUGCACCAGCCUUUUCAGGGCCAAAGGCAAUUAAACCUACAAAAUCUUCCAGAUCAUCCUUGUUCCCAAGUAUUCCGGAAGGAAUGAUGGCACGGGCAUUGCAUGGUAGUAGACUUGCUACACCACCAAAAUUUCACUCCCAUUUGACAGACAUGAAACUGGGCUUUGGUGACCUGUCUUCGAGUAUGCCGCAUUUCGAGCUGUCAGAUCAGCAUAGGCUGAAUGAGCAUUUCGGGCCUAUUCCAACUUGGAAUCCUGACAAAUUUCGCACAAAUUUUGCUGGAGAUUCUUCUGCUGGACCCUCUACCUUAAGUGUUUCUAGUGGAAUGCCAUUUCUGCUCAAUUCUUUUGGAGCAAGCAACUUAGGCUCUCAGGGUUUGAAUGGCUCUAGCAGCUUUGAUUUACAGCGGGAGGAACAUGGCAACAUGAAGUAUGGGAAGUUGCCCAGUCUUCUGGAUAGGUCACUAAAUAGAUUGCCUGAUUCCCAAAAUAAUGUUGGAAAUGGAGAAUCCAGUAGUUCAGCUUUAUUCCAAGACCAUGAUAAUGGGAUAAAUAUUUUGCAUUCGAAAGGGAAAGAAAUAGUUGGAAGCAGUUCUUCAAAGAAUAAGCUACCCCAUUGGCUUAGAGAAGCUGUAAGUGCUCCUGCUAAACCGUCAGAACCAGACCUGCCACCCACUGUAUCAGCUAUAGCUCAAUCAGUUCGUGUACUAUAUGGAGAAACUAAGCCAACAAUUCCUCCUUUUGUUAUACCGGGUCCACCUCCAUCCCAACCGAAGGAUCCAAGACGAACUCUGAAGAAGAAAAAAAAGCGGAGAUCAGAUAUUUUCAGGCAGUUCCCUCAAGACAUUGCGGGAAGCAUGCAGAAUUUUAAAAGAAGCAUUCAGGGCAGCAGUGUUGCUUCAUCCUCUGUUCAGUCAGCCCAAACUUUCCAACCGCCUGGAACUUCAGGACUUGCAUGGGAUGAAUCUGAUCCAAAUUCUCGUUUCCCUAAUAUAAACAUGCUGCACUGUUUGACAUCAUCUUCUUAUUUAAAUCUACCAAAGAAAACAAGCAUGGGCUUGUCCCCGUCUCCUGAAGUUCUUCAACUGGUAGCUUCCUGUGUGGCCCCAGGCCCCCACUUGUCAUCUAGUUCAGGCCUGACAAGCACUAGCUUUAAUGAGAGCAAGCACCUCUUGCCAAAAUCUGUCAACCAUGUAGAAGUUUUGGAUUCACAAGGUGCUGUGGAGGAUAUGCAGAGCUUGCCUCCUGAUUCAAAGGUCAUGCUCGCAGAAAACAAACCAAGCCAACCUGAUAGUGGUGAUUCUAGCAAGACUCGGUUGGAUUCUUCUCAGACUGAAGAGCCUGAUGUAGAGGCGAUAUCAUCUGAGGGAACGGUAUCAGAUCACCAUGUGAGUGAGCAUGAACCAUAGCUAUAAUACAAAAUGAAAUGUUCGGACAUUAUUAUUCUUUCAGGCCACUGGAGUUCCAGGUAUUGCAUUUCAGUUAUGCGCUCGAAUUUUUGUAGGCAUGAUGUAAUGAGUGAUGACUAGCGUACAUAGGAUCAUGUAGACAUCUUUUGUAAAGUUACUUUAAGAGAAAAUGAAAUGCAAAGUGUUUCUGCUUGGUAUUGGUAUUUUCGUCGCCCGUCUACAAUAAAGGACUUCCUCGCCCUUUUGGAAGAAGCGGAGAAACUCAUAUUCACGAGGAGUGUGGGCAGAAAUUUCAGUAUAGAUACCAAAAUUUUGGUUGGACUACCGUGGAAACAAUGGUCCAAGUAAGAGGCAUUUCUGGGUGUGCUUGUAUAACUCUCUCUCUCUCUCUCUCCCUCUCUGUGCCCAAAUUAAGAUAUGCAUUUUCAUUAUGCAACUUGUCAUACAAGAUCAGAAUGUAACGAGGG
rnacentral:misc_RNA from 1 species